CGCAAGAGGGCAAACCCAGUGCUUGCACUGGGGGUUGUAGGACUGCAAUGUGCAAGAGCUGAGUUUAGCAGAACAUUCUGGAAAGUAUAGCCAUAGAGGGUGAUAGUCCCGUAUGCGAAAAACAAAGCUUAGCUAGCAGUAUCCUGAGUAGGGCGGGACACGAGGAAUCCUGUCUGAAUCCGGGUCGACCACGAUCCAACCCUAAAUACUAAUACCAGAUCGAUAGUGCACAAGUACCGUGAGGGAAAGGUGAAAAGAACUGAGGUGAUCAGAGUGAAAUAGAACCUGAAACCAUUUGCUUACAAUCAUUCAGAGCACUAUGUAGCAAUACAGUGUGAUGGACUGCCUUUUGCAUAAUGAGCCUGCGAGUUGUGGUGUCUGGCAAGGUUAAGCAAACGCGAAGCCGUAGCGAAAGCGAGUCUGAAUAGGGCGCUUAGUCAGAUGCUGCAGACCCGAAACGAAGUGAUCUAUCCAUGAGCAAGUUGAAGCUAGUGUAAGAACUAGUGGAGGACUGAACCCAUAGGCGUUGAAAAGCCCCGGGAUGACUUGUGGAUAGGGGUGAAAGGCCAAUCAAACUUCGUGAUAGCUGGUUCUCUCCGAAAUAUAUUUAGGUAUAGCGUUGUGUCGUAAUAUAAGGGGGUAGAGCACUGAAUGGGCUAGGGCAUACACCAAUGUACCAAACCCUAUCAAACUCCGAAUACCUUAUAUGUAAUCACAGCAGUCAGGCGGCGAGUGAUAAAAUCCGUCGUCAAGAGGGAAACAACCCAG
rnacentral:rRNA from 1 species